rnacentral:lncRNA from 1 species
CUGGGAUAAGUGAGGAGGAGUAGGCAGAGAGCUGCCCCCCCAGGCAUUAUUCAGGGCCCUGGGAUAUGGGGGACACUGGCAGGGUUGGGAUCCAGAACAACCCAGUCACCAUCAAGGGAAGGAGGUACCCACCUAACAUUGGCAGCAGCUUGCCUGUCUGCCUAGCAAGGGCAGAGCCUCUAAGGGAAGGAGCCAACUGUGUGGCCCCCAUGCCCUUUUUCUUCCUGCUGGAGGGGCCAGUGGGCAUGGGGGGCAGGCAGGGACUGCAUUGUGAGGCACUGGGGUGUGUUCAGAUGCUCUCUGUCAGCCGGGCGUGGUGGCGUAUGCCUGUAAUCCCAGCACUUGGGAGGCUGAGGCAGGAGGAUCGCUGUGAGUUCAAGACCAGCCUGGGCUACAUAGUGAGCCCCAGGUCAGUCUCAACUACAUAAUGAGACCCUGUCUCAAAAAAAAGCAGAUGCUCUCUGUCCUCUGAGCCUGAAUAUCCCCAGUGAUCUGAGGUCCCAGCUCGCGCUAGGGGCUAGCAGGCCUGGUGGUCAGUGCACUAGUCCUAUCCCCUGGCUUUCUAGCCACUGGAGGCCUCAGGGCCUGAGUUCUCAGAUGCCCACAUGACAUGGUUGAACUUUGUCCGUCGGCCAGAUGACGGGGCUUCCAAGCGACGGUGCCGAUGCCAGGAUAAGAAGCUGGUAAGCUCCUGGGUGCUUUGGGGCUCCCAGGACCCUCUCAGGGGUCUGAGCCCAGGGCAGGUGGUGGCUGUGCAUUCUACCAGGUCCUUCACUUUCUCCUGUCUCCUCACAGCGAGGUCUCUUGGGGCCCCCAGGACCCCCAGGACCCCCUGGGCCCCCAGGCCCCCCUGGUGCAGAAGUUACCCCAGAAGCCCUGCUGCAAGAGUUUCAGGAGAUGCUAAGAGGUAAGGCUGCUGGUAUCUCCUUCCAGGUCCCUUAGCCCCAUCAGGAUGGGAUGGGCCUGACCCUGUGUCGCAUUGGCUUCUUCCCCACAGAGGCCACAGAGCGAAGGUUCUCUGCACUGCUGGACACAUGGCUGCCACAGGUGAGUGGCCAGCGACUGGUGGUCGAGGCCUUCCACUGCCGGCUGAAGGCUCCUGUGCUGGUAGACCAGAGGACCCUGGUGGAGCUACGGGGCUUCCAGGCUCCUGCUGUCCAGGGUGCCUUCCUGAGGGGGUCUGGACUGAGCCUGGCCUCUGGCCGAUUCACAGCCCCUGUCUCUGCCAUCUUCCAGUUCUCUGCCAGCCUUCAUGUGGACCACAGCGCACUGCAGGGCAGGGCCCGGCUGCGAGCCCGGGACACCGUGCGUGUCCUCAUCUGCAUAGAGUCCUUGUGCCAUCGCCACAUGUCCCUGGAGGCCAUCUCAGGCCUGGAGAGUAACAGCAGGGUCUUCACGGCACAGGUGCAAGGGCUGCUGCAGCUGCAGGCUGGACAGUACGCCUCUGUGUUUGUGGACAAUGGCUCUGGGGUGGCCCUCACCAUCCAGGGUGGUUCCAUCUUCUCUGGGUUGCUCCUGGGCACGUGAUGGCACCAUAGAGGAACCACCAGCCACCUCAGGGAGGAGGUGAAGAGGAUCCCCAAUAAUAAUACAGAGCUUGCAAUAAUAAAGAGCCCCCAGCCCUCCCUGUUGCCCAUGGAUGCUGCCUGGUUAUUGCAUUGGUGGAGGUGGGGGCUGGGCAGCUG